UCUUUGCUGCACAAUUAUACAAGGACAACACUGAAAUGGAAGAAGCUGCCAUCCCGUGGACUGGUUCUCAGGCAGGGAAAGGAAGAAGAAUAAAAGAAGCCAAAUCUCAAAGCUGGAGACAGACAAUAGUUUUGUUUUUGCUUUUUUUAAAGCAAGUGGAAAGCGGUUGGAAAAAGCUUCUACUUCCCAGGAGGCUUUUUCUUGUACUCAGUACUGUGAUUCUGCGUAAUGCUGGUGGGCAGCAAAAUAUGUUUAAAGACUCUCUCAAGGCAAAUCUUAAAAAUUGUCGUGUCAACAUCGACAAUUGGGAAACACUGGCCUGCAAGCACUCCAAUUGGAGAACAACCUUUACCAAAGGUGUCAUGGACUUUGAAGACGCUUGA